rnacentral:misc_RNA from 1 species
UCUCCGUUGGUGAACCAGCGGAGGGAUCAUUACCGAGUUUACAACUCCCAAACCCAAUGUGAACGUUACCAAACUGUUGCCUCGGCGGGGUCACGCCCCGGGUGCGUCGCAGCCCCGGAACCAGGCGCCCGCCGGAGGAACCAACCAAACUCCUUCUGUAGUCCCCUCGCGGACGUUAUUUCUUACAGCUCUGAGCAAAAAUUCAAAAUGAAUCAAAACUUUCAACAACGGAUCUCUUGGUUCCG